AAACAUUAUUUGCAAAAAUCGACCUGUACAAAACCGAAAUAAAAUCAAAUAUUGAAACACUCGUUCAUCCUGAGAGCUGAACUGCACGAAGGAAAUCAGAUGACAGGAAAUUUUCAUUUGCAGUUCAAUUGAAUACUGAAAAUCCAUAAUUGAAGACUGAAAAAGGGUUUCUGUAGUUUUAAUUGGAGAGUGAAAGGAGAUAAAGUUUGGAUCUUUUAUUCACGAGGUAAAUUCUGGAUUUUCAGUAUUAUUAUUGUGCUUAAUUAUGUUCAUGGAUUAUUUUGGGUUAUUUAUCCCAUGAAAUUGUGGAAUUGUUAGAAGCAGUUGAUUGAGUAACGGGGAAUUAAAUACUUCGUAUAAUAAUUGAAGCCAAGGGGUUAAUUUCUGGGAAAUUUUGUGUGAAAAGUUGAACAAAUUUGGCAAUUAAUGUAAAAAUGAUUAAGACAAUUGCUGGGUAUUGAAUAAAGUGGUGGAAAUUCUUGAUUCAGGGGUUAUAUAUGAGAGUUAGGAUCACCAAUGUUAGGAAUCAGGAUAAAAUCUUAGGUAUUUCCAGGUUUGAUGGUGAGUGGAGUAUAUUGUUUCAUGUCCUGUAGGAAGCAAAUGGAGGAAGGUAAUGACCGGGAAGCGAUUCGAUUGGAAAGAGUUGAUAGUCCAGGAUGUGAAUUAGAGGAGAACGAGGUUUCGGCUGACUCGAAUGAGGCUGCAUCGAAUAACCAGAAAGAAAAUGGGGAAGUUGGGGUUACUGCAUCAAUUAAUUUGAAUGUGGGUGAAGGAAUCCAGGACGACGAGAGGGCCGUGUGCAUAACACCUUUACAAUGUGAUCCUAUUCCUUUACCCUUACAAAAUGUUGAGAUAGAAAACAAUGUGGUGCCACCUAAAGUUGGGAUGGUGUUUGUUGGUUGGCUGGAAGUGGAGGCGUAUUAUAGGAGUUAUGGGAAGCAAGUGGGAUUUGGUAUAACUAGGGUGAAAGCAGCAUACAAGGGUGGAAAGAGCAAGGAGAAGCGGUCAACAACUUGGCGAUGUGAAUGUUCUGGUAAGCCGGAUAUGCGCAGAGUGAGGAAUGGAAAGAAGAUUUCAAAGGGGUUGGAGGUGGGUGGUGUAUUGCCAAGGAUAACAGAUUCAUUAGUGGGAGUGAGGGCUCCGAGGAGGUCUAAAAAAUGUGAUUGUCCUGCCAUGAUAUAUGCUAGUGUUAACAGCCAAGGAGAAUGGGUUAUAAGGACUGUUGUCUUAGAGCAUAAAAACCACAUACCAAAUCCUAGCCUGUCCAACUGUAUAAGCCAGAAUCGGCAACCUGGUAUGACAGCGUGCAAGAGAAGGAAGUCUUUUAAUGAUCAAGAUUUGGGUAGCGAGAGGGAUGGAGUGGAGGAGAUGCCAUUUACACAAAGGGACGUACAGAAUGUGAUAACAAAAGAAAGAAGAUUGAAGCUAAGGGAUGGUGAUGCAAAUACCAUUAUGGCAUUUAUUGAAAAAAUGCAAAAGGUUAAUCAGAAUUUCUUCCACUCUCACAGGUAUGAUGAACAUGGUGUUUUGCAAGAUGUUUUCUGGGUUGAUGCUAGAUGCAAGGCAGCAUUUGAGGAGUUUGGUGAUGUUGUUUGUUUUGACACAACGUACCUGACUAAUGAAUAUGAACUCCCUUUGGUGAACUUUGUUGGGGUUAACCAUCAUGGGCAGACCAUUUUGUUGGGUUGUGCUUUGCUCUCACAUGAAGAUACGGUAACAUUUCAGUGGGUGUUUCGCACAUGGUUGCUUUGCAUGGGAGGUAAAGCACCACCUGUUAUGCUAACUGACCAGACAAGUGUGAUUGGGGAAGCACUUGCUGCAGUAAUGCCAACCACUAGACAUCGUUGGUGCCUAUGGCACAUAAUACAGAAGCUUGGUAACAAGUUGGGGAGGUUUGACAGGUAUACCCAGUUUAAAGAGGAGUUGAAGAAUGUCAUCUAUGACUGUUUAACAGCAGAAGAGUUUCAAAGUCAAUGGUCGCGUGUCAUUGAAGAAUAUCAUCUUCAAAGCAGUGAGUGGCUCACUCAGAUGUACGGGGAAAGGGAGAUGUGGGUUCCAGCAUACAUGAAGCACCUAUUUUGUGCUGGGAUGCGGACAACACAAAGGGUGGAAAACAUUCAUAGCUUUUUCGAUGAGUAUGUAGGGAGACAUACAAGGUUAAGUGAAUUUACGGGAAAGUAUUGUGUUGCGAUGGAACAACGAGCUUCUAUGGAGAGAGACGCAGAUGCAAAUACUGCAAGGUAUGUUAGGGGAUUGGCAACUGGAUUCAAGGUGGAGAAAAUAUUUCAAAAGAUGUACACAGAUGCAAAGUUUGCUGAAGUGCAAAGGGAGUGUGCCAGGGUACUUUAUUGCACUGGACGGGGAGAGACUUGGGUGACAGAGACAGAAGUGGAUCACUUGAUGGAGGAUCGAGUAUGGGUGGUUUGUAAGUCAAGCAAAACUGAGAUACCUUCAACAAAAAGGAGGUUGUAUCGAGUGCGGUUCAAUACGGAAACAAGUGAAGUGAGCUGUGAUUGUAGGCUGUUUGAAAGUUGUGGUAUCAUGUGCAGGCACAUCAUCAAAGUUUAUGACAUGAACUUGAUAGAAGAUGUGCCUGAGAAAUAUAUAUUAAGACGAUGGAGGAAAGACAUUCCAAGGAAAUAUGCAAGAGUAAAGGUUGCGUACCAUGACCCAAGUAAGACGGUAGAGGUUAUAAGGUUUGAUAAGAUGAUGUCUGCAUUCGAGCUUGUUUGCGGAAAUGCAAUGCAGAUGGAGGAAGCAAUGCAAGUUGUAAUCAACAUGGUAAGGGCUAUGGAUAUAAAUGUUAAUGAAUGUCUAGGGAAGAUAUCAAUGAGCAGUGUGGGACAAUGUCAGACCAUGAAUGUUCUUCAAACUCCUCCGUCAACCGGGACUGUGAAAUUCGCAGGGGAUGCAGAGAUUCGGUCAGCUGAGACAGGUUCUGGUACAGACGCUGCCAGGGAUCCUCUGUUUACAAAAUGGAACAGAACAGUUCAGUCCACAUCAAUAACUGAGAAGAGUGCACAAAAUUCAGAGCAGUUGGUUAGUGAGGCUAGUGUUCUUGAGCAUGAUGAUGAUGUUGAUGAUGAUGAAGGUAGAAAGAGGAAGUUUGAGGUUAUGAAGAAGAAGAAACUGGACGUUGUAUAUAGUCCUCAGGUGAUUCAGGUACAACCAAGUGCUAUGCAUGGAGAAUGCCAGGGACAGCAACAGGAGCUAAUGUCGCCUGGGGGUAUGCGUCUCAUGGAGGAAGCUGGACCUGCAAGUUAUUUUACAAGAAAUAUUGACCAAGAAGAGCUAGGUAAGGAAGAUGACAAUAUUGAACAUAACAUGGAGCCAAGAUCAAUGGGUGUUGCAGAAAUUGGUGGUGAAGGAGGACCUGCAGCUUACUUAACAAGAAAUAUUGCCGCAAAGAAUGACAUGCUUCAGUGGAACAGGAUAUCAUGGGAGUAGUGUAUAGUUAAUAAUUUACUAUUCAUAUGUAGGAAAGUGCAUCGUUACAGAUUGACUUGAUAGUUGCUACAAGCAAGCCACGCACUACAUGGAAGUUGGUCCCCAAAGUUCGCCAUCAUGGUUGCUUUUUACCUCCUGGUUAAAUUUGCAGGACACAAGCAAUCACUGUUGUUCUUCAUGAUCUACCAGAAACUUCUUUGGCUCAUGGAAGCCUUACUGCAAGAAAUUUUCCCAUCCCUGAGCUCCACGGGCACCAUGACAGAGAUUGCAGAUCUUUGCAUCAGCAAGUUUGCUACUUGUGGACCUCAUCCUUACACAGUGUGUCUUAUUCUCAAAAUUAACACGUUGUAGAUGUUGGCCAUUAUAUAUUAUUCAAUGCAAUGUAACAGGCAUCUGUGCGUUCUCUUUCCCGAGAAGUUGAGACAACAUCUCCCUUUGGCCUCUACAUGCCCUUAGCCCCUUGCCUGCAGUUAACCAGGUAGGCAGACAGGGAGCUUUUAGAGGACAUUUAUUAAAGCUCACACCAGCUAGUUUUUUGCAGCUUAAAAUAGUCAUCGGGUAUAUGCUUUCCAAUAUUUAAAAUCUUUCAAGUAAUUUUUUUCCUCAAUCAUUUUGUUGCUCCUCUAUAAACAUAGAUAAGUUGAGGAAUUCAAUCAACUACCUAGUGGAAAUCUACCUAGAUGUAUAAAUCAAACAAGAUAUUAGUUUAUAUACAUGUUGGCAGUAUGUUACCUGUGUUACUUCACUUGGGUUUAUUAUUUGACUUAAUUAGCUUUUGUGUAGGUUUGCUAUAAUCUAUUCUAAUAUUUAAUAGCAGGCCAGUUGGAGAACCACGUGUCCCCCCCUUGGAAUUUAAAAUUUUUAUUACAUUUUUUUUAAGUUAACAGCCAAAAAAUCAACGAAAAAAAUCAGAUCUUCUACCCUCUUCUCCGACCUUCAAUUCUCUCCUCCAACGGUCCAACCUUCACACCUGCAAAAUCAUAAACCGGAAAACCCGAAUAUGCAUCAAUUCAAGAAUAAAUUAUCUCCAAGCUCAAAACCAAUCUCAAAUUAUGAGUUUAAUUUCAAAAAAAUUGAUAUUUGGGAACUGUUAUCUUCUUCUAUUUCAUGAGUUAUGGCAGUCAUGACCAAACAAUUCAAGCUUCAUAUUUUGAUAAAAUACCCACAAGAACCACGCAUGUAAACCCAUAAAUCAUAAACCACCCAUUAUCUUCUACUCACUUUCUCCUACCUCAUGCUAAUCGUUUUACCACAGCAUGGUUUCUUCGUCUUCAUCGGAUGAACCAUGGCCAAUUACUAAGUCUCUUCAACUCCUCUUGAGUUCAAUUGAAAUUGAUAACACUGAAAUUAAUUGAUUAAUUUCAAGUUCACACUGAUGAAUCAUUGCAUGGCUUCUUGGUCUUGCUGGGAAAUUGAUUUUGUCUCUCGGUAUCUCCACUCUUUCUCUUCCCAUACUUGCUUUUCAUCUCCAUUCAAUCUUCCAUCUUUAUUAAUUAGAUUUUUUUUUCUUUUUAUUUCUGAAUUCCAACAAAAUGCCUUUUACUGGAAACCCAAUUCAACACCAUCAACCACCGCAGCAACAACCACAACGGUGUAACGAUUAUAUACAUAUUCUAACAGUUUAUUUUUGGGUAAGUUUGGUUUAGUUGUUUUGUUGCCCUUAUUUUAUUCCAUGAAAAUAAAUCAAUUGUCUCUUAUAGAAAAGGUGACGAUUCAAUUGGAUAAUUAUUUUUUAAUUAAUUAAAUGGGUAACUGCUUCUCUGAACGUUCUAAAAAAAUUAUCCUAGGAUACAUUCUAUAAACAUAAUACAUAGUAUGUCACUAGAAAUCUGGGAAAAAAAGUCAUUACUACAUUGUUCAUCACUUGAUAAUGUAAGUUACUCCAUUGUUGCGUUUUUCUUAUAUUCCAUUCUCUAUAUUGAUUUGCUUCGAUGACACGUACGUGUUUCAAGGGAUAUGAAUUUCUAUAGUAUCAGCAUUUCCAAAUUUAACAUAAUCUCAAUGUCUUCCUGCAGAGCAAAUUAAGUGUUGUACCAUUGAUCAAAGUGGUCCUACUGUUUCCGAUUAUUAGGAGCAUCCCAUUCUCCACAGAAGUGAAAAAUACAUCACAAUUUGAGGACAAGAAAGGGUAAAUCUGUUGUGCAACAGAAAAUUUACAUGCAUAAGCAGGAUGUCCCCAUGAAGGAAAAUCAGCUACUUUGUACGGAGUAUAUGACUUCUUUUCAUUAAAAUUCAAUUAUUGGUGGUGCAACUCCAAGCACAGAAUUGUUUCCUUCAUGUUUUGGUCUUUGAAAUCAUCAGGAAACAUCAAUAUUACAUCACUUGCAGAAUUUGUUCUACAGUUCAACAACCAAAUAUGUUAACCUAGGAUUAUUCUUGCGUCCACAAUAAUAUUAGUGUGGACCGAAAAUCAAUAGUUUUAUGUAGCACUUUUUUUACACGUUCAUAUAGUAACUAUAAUAAAUUAAACACCAAAAUUCUUAGACA